rnacentral:misc_RNA from 1 species
GAAAUGCGAUAAGUAGUGUGAAUUGCAGAAUUCAGUGAAUCAUCGAAUCUUUGAACGCACAUUGCGCCCCUUGGUAUUCCAUGGGGCAUGCCUGUUCGAGCGUCAUUUGUACCCUCAAGCUCUGCUUGGUGUUUGGUGUUUGUCCCGUCUCCGCGCGUGGACUCGCCCCAAAGUGAUUGGCAGCCGGCGUACUGGUCCCGGAGCGCAGCACAUGUCGCGCAAACGAGUGCCUUGGUACGGCGGCGUCCAUAAGCCCCUCUCUCACGCUCUUGACCUCGGAUCAGGUAGGGAUACCCGCUGAACUUAAGC